rnacentral:lncRNA from 1 species
UGGACCAGUGAUCUGGAAUGGCCUCCUCAGCCUCCUAUGGAGACCUGGAGAACAAGAGACAUGGAGGCAGAGAGACCCCAAGUCUCCCGGCUCCUACGUCCUGAACCCCUACUGCUCCUGCUGCCCCCUAGCAUCCUCGUCUUUACUGAGACCUCCCCUGUAGACACUGGACUGCACACAGGUACUACUGCUCCUGCUGCCCCCUAGCAUCCUCGUCUUUACUGAGACCUCCCCUGUAGACACUGGACUGCACACAGCACAAUCUGAGGCGGUUGGUGUCAUGGCUUGCUGAAAUGAAAUGGAGUGACUCAGUGACAAUUUGAAGCCUCUAGGUCACCAGACUGCUAGUUAUGGCGCACACCUGUCACCAUCGUUACGUGCACCUGUGCGUCAUCAGACUCACCUGGACUCCAUCACCUCCCUGAUUACCUUCCCUAUAUAUGUCACUUCCUUUGAUUCCUUCCCCAGGCGUUAUUGUUUCUGUUCCUGUGUCAUGUCUGUGCAUUGUUCGUGUUUCUUAUUUUGUGUUAUUUUGUGUUUAUUUAUUAAAACCCUCACUCCCUGAACUUGC